rnacentral:rRNA from 1 species
AUCUAUGGCCAUACCACCCUGAACAAGUCUGAUGUCUGACCUCGGAAGCUAAGUAGGGUCGGGUCUGGUUAGUACUUGGAUGGGAGAACACUUAGGAAGACUAGGUGCUGUAGGCA